AAGCCGUAUGAAUAAAAAUGAGCAUUUGCUCAAGACAAGUUUGCUCUGCUCGAUUCUGAGCAAAGUAAACUCUUGUAGCAUUUGCUCAACUUGGUAUGAAUAAAACUUUACUUUACUCAGCUUAGACUGUAGCAUGUUCGAAAUUCGAACAUAGCUUUUGCUCCGUCAAUAUUUUGUCAACAAAUGUUAAUUUCUCCAAGAAGAAAACUUACAAAUUAUUGAUUCAAUACAACACGGCCGUGAUAAAAUUUUGUAAGCUACUACACCUAGCUCAAGUCUGUGAGGUGCCGCUAGCAGAUGAAAAAACACCCUAAAAGAAAAGAACGGAGUUUUGACCAAGACAUGCCAGGCGAAAAAAGUAACCGGAUAUAACAACAUUAAAAUCUAUUUAGAAAUUCUUAAAAUUCGGAUGGUCAACAUAUCAACAAUUGGUAAUAUUUGUGAAAAAUAACAUUGAAAAGAACUGCACCAGUACAGUAUAGUAAUACUACAAACGUGAUGAAUGACACCAAUCACCAGUACCGUCAACAACAUCGUAAAUCUAGCAGCCGCAACUAGUGUAAACAUAAUCAAAUUAUGUUCCCUGAUUUUUAUAUGUACGAAUCGUUCAUGUUCGGUGUCUACAAUAAAUGGAACGAUGCCGGGGAUCAGCCCUGUUACGAUAAUGCUGUUCAAAACAAAAACAAUCUGCAGUUUCUAAUGAUCGCAAGUGAAACGAUGCAAUUUGCUACUACCUGUGUACACUUUACGGUGUUUCGAAGCAUGGAGCAGAUACUGCCAACCGGAUUGUGCAUCUUGUUAAAAUUUUGAAUAGUUAUAUUUGAUCAAUACCAUAGUUCAGCCGUUUCAUCGUUAAACUCAAUCAACUAUGGAUGAAUCAACCAAAGUACCAGUUAUUACUCACUGUAAAUCGAUACGAAAUUUCUUGCGGUUGUACUGGAUAGUUCUUUGCGGAACAUAUAGUUUCUCAUAUUCCUUCAUAGUGAGAUUGUAAUAUGUCGGUACAGCUUUUUUAUUAGUUUCAUAACUUUUACACGACACAUUCCGGUUGACAUUGCUAGUUGUCGUUCUUGGACAAGGACUAAUUCAUGUCGUAAACGCGUUGAUUGAGUACCUUUAACAAUGUUCAGAAGUAUUCAAUAGAAACAGCAUCUUUGUCGCAGACCGAACCGACCCAAUGUUACAGCAGAGGACGAACAGGGAUAUACAAUCGGAUGUUGAUAGCUGUUAUGAGGAAGAACGUCAGGUGAAGAAAACAACUCCGGUGCACAACAGCUCCAAUUUUUAUCGUACAAGCGCACAUUGCAUUUCCCUUAAUUUAACAAUGUUCACUGUAGCUAUCUUUGUGAUGGAACACAACCAUUCAUUAUUUAUCAUUAAGAUAUGUGCGUUCCUAAAAGUAACUGGCGCUCUGAUGCAUAGCGGUAAUGUUCCAUUCCCCGAUUAUGUAAAGUAGCGCGGAUAUUAUAACUGCUGAUUGUGCAUUGGCAUUUAACAUUAGUAAAAUUGAACGGAAAGGCGGCAGCUAAUGAGAUGACGGAAAGAAGAUAUUUGAAAUUUUUCAUGGAAACUAGUAAUAUGUUAACUCGAUAAGCACGAUUAUACUGGUGUGUUAGAGUGUAUGAGUAUUAGAUUAGCAUAAUUAUUGUUCAUUUUUGAGAAUAGUAUAGUUUAAAGUUAAAUCAAUCAGUGUUUUAAAUUAUUAAAAACAAACCUGUUUUAAUCCACCUAGUGGUGCAAUUGUGCCUUUCUCAUUUGUCCAAACGACGAUUCCAUGGCUGGUUAUUUUCAAUAUAAUGGUGGAAAUGUAUAUUAAAGUAGCUAAUACCCAUCGCGCGUUGCUGCGACUUUCAGCGAAAUAGGUGGAAAACACAAUUUAUUCCGAAGCGCCACCUGGCGGGCAGAUAAUCCCCAACCAAUAGCACACAAACACGCUCCAUAACAAAUGCCUACUAUGUAUAAAUUUUGAUGGCAAUCGAUUAAGUCGUUUCGGAGUCCAUAAAUCAUAUACAUACAAACAUUGACAUUUAUAUACACAGAAAUUCAUAUACAUAAUCUGAAUCGCCAACCACCAACUUGAGAUGCUAUGUGUCGACGCUGUUUCAACUUGAAACCAGAUGCGGACCCAAAAGGAAGGUCCAGGGGAUCCGGACCCCGCCGAAAAUUUCCAACUUGUUAAGAAAUUUUAAACUAGUUUAAAUUUUAAUGUAAUUUAAGACUCAAAAUCAUUUCAAA